UUCAUUAAAGGUGUAAGAGGGUCAGACAAAAUCGAUUAACCGACAAUCUAAAUCAAACUAAAUAAAAAAAUUGAUUUUUUUUGUUUGGUUCAAAAACCGAACCAAACCAAUUAAAAUCGAGAUGGUUUGAUUCAGUUCUCAGUUUUAGUUUUUAGGAAUCGCCAAACUAAUGAACCGAACCGAUGACUAUAAAUACAUACUUAAUCUUUUAUUUAACUCAUUAUCAAGCUCAGAUUUUAUAUGGGUCCAACACUUUUCCAUGUUAUUUACCCUUCUUUUCUUUGAAC
rnacentral:lncRNA from 1 species